CGAUCAUUAUCGCACCAUAUCGGCAACUUUGUUCAUUUCCUGAUAUCAAGUAAUUAUUUUCUUUGUCUGUCAGGGUUUGGAAAGAGUUCACCAGAAUUGCUACAGGACUGCCGAGGGAGCUGUGAUUUACACACCCGAAAUGCUUGUGACAGGAAGCCGGGAAUGAUUUUUGUCGAUACUACGUUUGCGAGUUCAUCUACAACGCGUCCUCUCAGCGGUUCUACUCUGAAAAAAAUAUAAAAUAUGGCAGAUGCGGGGUGAACUCCUACCACAUGAUCGCAUGCGAGCAACUCAAGAGGAAUUGACAGGAUUCUUUCUUGACCACGUCAUCAAUGAGAAGGGAGAAUACCUUGUGGAAUUUGAUAUAGACUUUAGAUGUUAGGGAUUGUAAGAGAUCUUAUAUUGUAUAUAUGUAGGUAGUAGCUUCAGAUAGAUAUACGAAAACUUGUUGUUCGACCAAUUUCUCGGAGAAAGAUAGGUCACUUCUCUCUGUAUAUGUUCAUAAUGAUGUUGUGUAAUUAAUGAUUCCU